rnacentral:sRNA from 1 species
GUUGCGGUUAAAAAGCUCGUAGUUGCAUU